rnacentral:rRNA from 1 species
GACGAACGCUGGCGGCGUGCCUAAUACAUGCAAGCGGGACGCAAGGGAACACACUGUGCUUGCACACCGUGUUUUCUUGAGUCGCGAACGGGUGAGUAACGCGUAGGUAACCUGCCUAUUAGCGGGGGAUAACUAUUGGAAACGAUAGCUAAUACCGCAUAAUAUUAAUUAUUGCAUGAUAAUUGAUUGAAAGAUGCAAGCGCAUCACUAGUAGAUGGACCUGCGUUGUAUUAGCUAGUUGGUAAGGUAAGAGCUUACCAAGGCGACGAUACAUAGCCGACCUGAGAGGGUGAUCGGCCACACUGGGACUGAGACACGGCCCAGACUCCUACGGGAGGCAGCAGUAGGGAAUCUUCGGCAAUGGACGAAAGUCUGACCGAGCAACGCCGCGUGAGUGAAGAAGGUUUUCGGAUCGUAAAGCUCUGUUGUAAGUCAAGAACGUGUGUGAGAGUGGAAAGUUCACACAGUGACGGAGCUACCAGAAAGGC